rnacentral:lncRNA from 1 species
GUAUGACUAAAUGAUAAAUAUACGUGAAUCACUGAUCAGAGUCAGUGUGUCCAGGAAGUGACAUUAUCUGCAGACCAAUACUGGCAAUGGCAGUUGGAGACAAAUAGGCUUCACCAGUCUCAAAGCCCUACCUACUACAAUGAGUCCACACUUCUCCUGGAUUUUAUCUACUUCAGCAAAAGAAGGCCACCCACCAAACCAGGCCAUUGUGCUUUGGGUGGAAACUCCUAAGUCCUAUAGUCUCCUUAAACAGCCAACCACACUGCCACUUUCCUCAAUAAUUACUGCAGCCCUGAGACUUUGGUAGCCUAGUAACUAUAACUACUGAUGCUACAGUCUGGUCACAGUAUGAUAAAACACCAGAGCAACAAAAACAAAAAUAUUGACUUAAGCCUUCUAAAAUCUCUCUAAAUAUACCUUCAAUAAAUAUGUUUUUUUCUACAGAACAACUGCUUUCUACUUCCUGAACUAACGUUUGGCCUUGGAUUUUUCUCAUUGUUGAAAUUGAUUCAAAAGUAUACAUUUAACAUGAAGGUGAUUAUAGAAUUUCAUGUGUCAGCAACUAAAAUUUUCAAAAUGAU